ACGUAGGGUGCGAGCGUUAAUCGGAAUUACUGGGCGUAAAGCGUGCGCAGGCGGUUGUGCAAGACAGAUGUGAAAUCCCCGGGCUCAACCUGGGAACUGCAUUUGUGACUGCACGACUGGAGUGCGGCAGAGGGGGAUGGAAUUCCGCGUGUAGCAGUGAAAUGCGGAGAUAUGCGGAGGAACACCGGUGGCGAAAGCGGAUCUCUGGCGCGUUACUGACGCUGAGGCUCGAAAGCGUGGGGAGCAAACAG
rnacentral:rRNA from 1 species